GGAAGGGGUGUAUUUAUUAGAUAAAAAACCAAUGCCCUUCGGGGCUCCUUGGUGAAUCAUAAUAACUUAACGAAUCGCAUGGCCUUGCGCCGGCGAUGGUUCAUUCAAAUUUCUGCCCUAUCAACUUUCGAUGGUAGGAUAGUGGCCUACCAUGGUGGCAACGGGUAACGGGGAAUUAGGGUUCGAUUCCGGAGAGGGAGCCUGAGAAACGGCUACCACAUCCAAGGAAGGCAGCAGGCGCGCAAAUUACCCAAUCCCGACACGGGGAGGUAGUGACAAUAAAUACUGAUACGGGGCUCUUUUGGGUCUCGUAAUUGGAAUGAGUACAAUCUAAAUCCCUUAACGAGGAACAAUUGGAGGGCAAGUCUGGUGCCAGCAGUCGCGGUAAUUCCAGCUCCAAUAGCGUAUAUUAAAGUUGUUGCAGUUAAAAAGCUCGUAGUUGAACCUUGGGUCUGGCUGGCCGGUCCGCCUCACCGCGAGUACUGGUCCGGCUGGACCUUUCCUUCUGGGGAAUCUCAUGGCCUUCACUGGCUGUGGGGGGAACCAGGACUUUUAC
rnacentral:rRNA from 1 species